ensembl:snRNA U6 U6 spliceosomal RNA
GUGCUCACUUCAGCAGCACAUAUAUUAAAAUUGGAACAAUACAGAGAUCAGCAGGGCCACUGCACAACCAUGACACAAAUUUGUAAAGUGUUCCAUGUUUCC